rnacentral:rRNA from 1 species
AUUGAACGCUGGCGGCAUGCUUUACACAUGCAAGUCGAACGGUAACAGGCCGCCAGGUGCUGACGAGUGGCGAACGGGUGAGUAGUGCAUCGGAACGUGCCCAGUCGUGGGGGAUAACUACUCGAAAGAGUAGCUAAUACCGCAUACGAUCUAUGGAUGAAAGCGGGGGACCGUAAGGCCUCGCGCGAUUGGAGCGGCCGAUGUCAGAUUAGGUAGUUGGUGGGGUAAAGGCUCACCAAGCCAACGAUCUGUAGCUGGUCUGAGAGGACGACCAGCCACACUGGGACUGAGACACGGCCCAGACUCCUACGGGAGGCAGCAGUGGGGAAUUUUGGACAAUGGGCGCAAGCCUGAUCCAGCAAUGCCGCGUGCAGGAAGAAGGCCUUCGGGUUGUAAACUGCUUUUGUACGGAACGAAACGGCUCUGGUUAAUACCCGGGGCUAAUGACGGUACCGGAAGAAUAAGCACCGGCUAACUACGUG